rnacentral:rRNA from 1 species
GUCCACGCCCUAAACGAUGAUUACUCGAUGUUAGCGAUAUACAGUUAGCGUCAAAGCGAAAGCGUUAAGUAAUCCACCUGGGGAGUACGCCGGCAACGGUGAAACUCAAAGGAAUUGACGGGGGCCCGCACAAGCGGAGGAGCAUGUGGUUUAAUUCGAUGAUACGCGAGGAACCUUACCCGGGCUUGAAAGUUAGUGAAUGAUACAGAAAUGUAUCAGUCCGCAAGGACACGAAACUAGGUGCUGCAUGGCUGUCGU